UGUAUCUGCUUUAACAGAGAUACCUUUCGCAGGGGUCUUAGAAGAGUAUCCUCUUUCCAAGUGAAUGUCUCUGACAUUGGUUCCCAUGCAGCUGCUGCAAUGGGAGCAGCGAGCCACAUUCCUGAGUGCCUUGAGAAGUAAAACUCUGCCAUGUGCAAGCUGUGUUCAGGGAUGGUGGUCACUGUGGAGCUACCCAUGGAUUGUGGUCACUCUGGAACAUCCCAUUAACAGAAGGUUUCAGCACUAUUUGAGCUGUGCACAGCCACUGCCCGACAGCAUUAGUGGAAACUGCC